rnacentral:sRNA from 1 species
GAAAGUUUUCACUGCAUCUCUUGUGGGAUACGUAUAAUAUUUGGCAGAUGAUACUUUUAAAUGACAAUAACAGUUAUUUUUCAGAGAGAGAAAUCAAGAUAGCCCUGCAAAUUCAGUGUAGUUGUUAAUUCUCUGUAUUCUUAUUAACAAGAUUCCUUUAUUCAUUUAUUUAUCAAAUAGUUAUUGAGGGCCUUAUAUACCAGAUAUCAAUUUAGGUGUUCAGGAUACAUUAGAGUUAAAAAAAAGACAAAAAUCCCUGCCCUCGUCAACUUAAAUUUUAGUGAGGGAAAUAAUACAUAAUAAACAUAAUAAAUAGUAAAUGACAUGGUAUGUAGGAAAGUGAUAAGUGUUAUGGGAAAAUCAGAAGGAAAGGGGGUUAGUGAAUGCUGAGGGAAUGUGGGUUGCCAUUGAAAUGGAGUGGUUAGUAUAUGCUUCAUUAAGAAGGUGUCAUAUGAAUAAAGACUUUGAAGAGAUGUAUGAGUUACCAACUGCUACAUAAAAAACUACCCCAAAACUCAGUGGCUUCAAACAAUUAAACAUUUGUUCACUCAUGAAUCAGUAGAUCUGUUAGUUCUUAGUCUGAGCCAGGCUUGUUUUUUCUCUGUAGGGCUUGCUCACACAGUUAUUGUUAGCUACAGGUUAGCUGGUGGCUGGCUUUGCUAAUCUUGGCUGGGUUCUUUCUUAUGUAUGAAGUCCCAGCUGGGACAACUUGACUCAGCCUCAUAUGAUCUUUAAUAAUCUUUCAGUAAACUAGCCUGGACCUGUUCUCUUGGUAUAACAGGGAUCUGAAAACAAAAAAAAAAAACAAAAGCGGAAGCACAAUAGAGUCUCCUGAGGUUUGGGCUCAGAACCAGCACAGUGUUACUUUGUUAUAUUCUGUUGCUCACAGAAAGUCAAAGGCAAGUCCAGAUUCAUAGGCUGGGGAAAUAGACUUGAUCUCUUGAUGGAAAAGCUGCAAAAUCACAUUGCAAAGGGCUGUAGAUACUGAGGGGGACAGCCAUUUUUUGCUGUCUUCCACAGAAGGCAAGGGAGUAAGCCUUGUGGGUGUAUGGUGCUGGAAGGGAUGGGUGAAGAGUGGAGGAGGUGGCAGAGUAUUCCAGGUAGAGAGAAUACUCUGUGCAGAGGCUCUGUGAGAGUGUACUGGUGUUAGAAGAACAGAGGCUAGAGUGUCUCAAAUGCAGUAAGUGAGGAGAGAGUUGUAGGAGAUGAAACCAGGGAGAAACAAGGACAAAAUCAGGAAGAGGUUUCUUUUUGCCAUAAUUAGGACUUGGGCUUUUGAUCAGAGAAAUGAGGUUUCCCCCUCGUUUUUUGUGAGUUUUAUUCCCCAUAUAUAAGGUCAAGAUUUUAUCUUAAUCUUUCAUUUUCAGCAGUUUGACUGUGUGUCUAGGUAGUUUUUGUUUUUGUUGUUGAUGCUAUUGCCUGGGUUGUUUUUUGGUAUUAAUCCUGCUUGGGGUUCUCUGAGCUUCUUGGAUAUGUGGCUUGUUGCCUUUCAUUAUUUUUAGAAAAUCCUCUGCCUUAUUUCUUCAAAUAUUUCUUCUGCCCUCUUUCUUCUUCUUCCACUUGUAUGGUACCUGACAUCUCUUCCUUUUCUGCUCCACCACAGGUAAGCCAGUGCUUGCAUCUCGUCUCUCCUGGGAAAGAUCUGUCUUUCCUUGGAUUUUAAGUUUAUAGUUGCCCUGUAACCCCAGCUCUGAUGGGAUCAAGAAAAGUUAUGAUUUUGUAGUUUAUUAACUUUUUCUUAUUGUUAGGAAAGGAGCAAUAUUCCCCCAACUCUCUGCUCCAUUAGAGGGUUUUGAGUAGAAGGCAGGACAUAAUCUGAUUUAUAUUUUAACAAGAGCAGUUAGGUUACUGUAUUGAAAGUAGAUGGAAGGCGGGGUUGGCGCUAACGAAUUUGAAUGAGGAGCCUCAGCGCUUUCAGCGCCAUUUUCGAGUGAUGCCUGAUCUCAUCAAUGUAGCGGAAGAGACAGGAUAACCUAUCCAAGAGUAUAGUGCCACUAUGACUCCGCCGGAAAAAUUACUUUAAAAAUCGCCAAAAAUUACUUGGAGCAAAGGGCAGUCGGCGGAGCUUCGCCAAGGCUGGCACAGUCGGUUUUGACCUGUAGCAGAGAACCAAUUCUGCAGAACGGCCUCACUUCUUUGACUGAAUACUCACAUAAUGCAUUGGAACAUGACAUGAGAUUAAGGUUUAAUAAUGAUAGAAUGAAGACCAUAAAAAAAGAGACCUUUACUUAGCUCAGCAAUUCCUUUCUUACAUAUUUGAUGAAGAUGUCUUUUGAAAGGUGUACUGCAAGGAACAAAAUGUUUGUAAAUUCUGCUUUUACCAAGGUUUCUUUUUUAAUUGAUGCCAAAGAGUUCCAAUAUUGAACAUCUUAAGUCUGUUACUUGGAGUAUGGAUUGAGUUUGGAGCUUACUCAGAGGACUACAGGAGAGUAUCCAGGAAGUGGAUAAUUACUGUACCUUCCUCAUGGAAAAAGUUUUAUUUAAAGUGUUAUUUCUCAUUGAAUACUAUCAAAAAGGAAAAAAAAUGACCUAAACUUUUGAGAUAGAUUUGGCUCUAGUAAGUAUUUAGAUAUAUCACUUACAUAUCUGGGAGAAGAAAUAAGAGACUAUCAUCAAUACAUUCCCAUCUACUAAAAAAUUUUAUUUUACACAUGUCAAGGGAUUACUUAUAACUUCCAUUGUCUUUUUUUUUUUAAGCCUAUAUGCAAUGAAAAAUAUAUUGGCAAAAUAAAUGUUUAAACCUUUUACGUUAAAAUUACUGUGAAAGAUGACAAGUUAGCUGCUGUUUUUGUCUACAUUAUACUGAAAUUAAAUGUUUAUAAUUUAUAUUUUGGGUUUAUUUAUUUAUAAAUCGUGGAAUUUAUGCAAAAACAUUAGUACAGAUUCUCCUCUAAUUCUGUAGGACUUUGAAUAAUGUGAUAUUUUUCUUAUAAUUGGACCCUUGUGUUUUGAAGAAAUGCCAACUGCUUGAAGAAUUUCCUUGUUAUUUGUAUUAUUUGCUAUAGGGUUAGAUGUUGAGAAAUUCUGCUGACAAAAAAUUUAAAGCCAGUUUUACACUAAAUAUUCCUCAGUCUGAUUAAUUUGUUAUUGGAUGUAUUCUGUAUCUUUCUUUUGUAAUUUGUAACUUUUAUCCACUUAGCACGAAUGAUUCUAUUAAAGAAAAUCUUUAGGAAGUGGUAGAAACUUUAAAUCGCCCCAUAGUUUGCCUGUUUCCACAUUUUAUUAUCUUAUAAUCUUUGGGAGUGCUUACACUUAUGGAGCUAACAUUUUCAGAGAUACAGGUUCUCAUAGUACCACUAAAACUUUUUUCCUCUUUGGACUGAAUACCUAUGAUUAUAACUACACAGUAGUUUAAGUUUCCUUGUUAUUAGUCAAAAAUACCAUUUUAGUAUGAAGCAAUGAAGUUUAUUAUUUGUUGUCCCAUAAUUGAGAAAGCUUAAAUACACCUUUUAUUAAUAGUUUGUAAAUUCUAGGUUAGUCUACACAGAUUUUUAUAUCAAUUUGUUUAUAUUUUUAUUAAUGUCAUUUCUGGAAUUGUGAAAAUGUUAAUGUUCAACAAGCAACAUUAAAAAUAGAUUUGAAACAUU